rnacentral:rRNA from 1 species
AUACGUAGGGGGCUAGCGUUGUCCGGAAUUAUUGGGCGUAAAAAGCACGUAGGCGGUUUAUCAAGUUAGGUGUGAAAACUUCCCGCUCAACGGGAAGACUGCAUCUAAUACUGGUAGGCUAGGGUUCAACAGAGGGAAGUGGAAUUCCCGGUGUAGCGGUGAAAUGCGCAGAUAUCGGGAAGAACACCAGUGGCGAAGGCGGCUUCCUGGGUUGUAACCGACGCUGAGGUGCGAAAGCUAGGGUAGCAAACAGGAUUAGAAACCCCAGUAGUCC